AUGGGGUCUUGCUACACAAUUCUAGAUGGCCUUGAAUUUGCCACGUAACGCAGUCUGGCUCCAAACUUGUGGCGAUCCUCCUGCCUCAGCCUCCUGAGUGCUGGGAUUACAGGCGUGCUGCACCACACCCAGCCUUGAAGUUUUAAGUGACUACAAACUCUGUGGAUGCGGAGACUGGGCUUAUCUUGUGCACCUGCAGCGAGUGUGGAAAAAGAAUGCAGGAAACAUUUGUCGAGUGAAACGGUGCAGACCGGGACCCCGAAGAGCCCCAGGAUAGGGCGAGGCCCGGCUGUGUGUGGCCUUGGUCAGAGUGGAGCAGAAGUCCAGACAGCGAGGGAACGUGACGUGGCUCAGUGACUCGGGGUGUCCGUGUCCCUGUGCAGCCCCAGAAGACACGGGUUAGGCACUGGGCUUGGCAUCUGGAAAGCAAACAGUGGCUCUCACGCAAGAUAAAGAGCGCUCGAAAAUCAGCCUCAGCCAGAGGCAGUGCAGUGCGCGUUUGCAACCCCAGCUGCUUGGAGACUGAGAUGGGAGGAAAGCCGGAGGCCAGCCUGGGCAGCUCAGUGCAAGCCUGUCAUGAACGAAUGAAUGAACACAAAUCUGAAAAGCCUGGAGCUGCACCUCAGCACGAGGCCCUGUGUUGAUCCCCCAGUACCACAAAAGCCCAGGGAAGGGGCCUUCCAUGGGACCCCUCAGCGUUCAGUGUGCGUUCCCUGCAUCUGGAGGACGGGGUGCACUGCGCUGGUGGCCGGAUCACGUCUGGGAAGAAGAGGCAGCGGGAAGCUGGCUCACUGCCCUGGAGGUGGAACAAGGGAGAUUGCGCGGGCCAGGGCCUGCCAGCCUUCCAAGCCCGCGGGGAGGUCUACGGACGAGACAUGGGGCUGGUGCUGCAGAGCUACACAGGAUUAUAUUAGAUUCUGCCCCAAAGGGUCGCCCAAAUGCCUUCAGUGA
rnacentral:lncRNA from 1 species